UACAGAGGGGGCAAGCGUUGUUCGGAAUUACUGGGCGUAAAGGGCGCGUAGGCGGCCUGUUAAGUCGAACGUGAAAUCCCCGGGCUCAACCCGGGAACUGCGUCCGAUACUGGCAGGCUUGAAUCCGGGAGAGGGAUGUGGAAUUCCAGGUGUAGCAGUGAAAUGCGUAGAGAUCGGGAGGAACAUCUGUGGCGAAGGCGGCCACCUGGACCAGCACUGACACUGAGGCACGAAAGCGUGGGGAGCAAACAGG
rnacentral:rRNA from 1 species